UACGGAGGGUGCAAGCGUUAAUCGGAAUUACUGGGCGUAAAGCGCACGCAGGCGGUCUGUCAAGUCGGAUGUGAAAUCCCCGGGCUCAACCUGGGAACUGCAUUCGAAACUGGCAGGCUAGAGUCUUGUAGAGGGGGGUAGAAUUCCAGGUGUAGCGGUGAAAUGCGUAGAGAUCUGGAGGAAUACCGGUGGCGAAGGCGGCCCCCUGGACAAAGACUGACGCUCAGGUACGAAAGCGUGGGGAGCAAACAGG
rnacentral:rRNA from 1 species